rnacentral:lncRNA from 1 species
GCGCUUCAUAUAAAAUCUCUUCUCUUAAUUCUGGUACUAAUGGUACCCAAAUUCGUCUUUCAAAUCUUAGCAAUCCGGUGCCAUCAAUCUUGUAUUUCAAUUCAUCCCCUUCAGCUAAUCGCUUCUUGAUGCUGUCGCAAUCUUCAUCCUUCUCUUGAGCCUCUUUAACCUUAUCUAAUAAAGUAGGGCUCGCUGCCACAGUAAAUAAUUUCUCAUUGAUCUCCAUCUGAUACUUAACCUCUAAGUCAAGUCGUUCGAAAUCCUUCACCAAUUCCUCUUGAAUGGUUAACUUCAAUAACUU